GGGGUUCGGGGGCAACGCCACCGAAGCUUAUGAUCUAUAGUUAGUUGGGCUAGCUUUCGGUCAAGUGAAGGCCCAAGGGGCUGGCCGAACUUUCCUUGUUAUUUUUCCAGUUUAUUAGGUCUUAGUCACGGCUAUUAAUAGCCUCAAGCCGCAUGUUACAUUCAGUUUUUGAGAGUAUUGAAUAAAAUUUCCAGAAUUUCGUCCAUUCCUUGUGGGAAAUUCCCUUAGCUUGUAAAAGCUAAGUUGAACAUCCUAGAGUUGAUCCUAGGCUGUUCUUGACUUAUCAAUCAAGCACACAUACUUGAUUGUGGCGUCCUCUACCGUUAAAUCUGUUCUUGAGUGGUCCAAGUUCGGGUUCAACUCCGUCAAAUCUUCAUCGUGUUCCUCUAGAUCCGAAGUAGCUUCCGCGUCUCGUAUCAGCUGGUAUCAGAGCUAGUUAGAGGUAUCACGAAUAUCCUUUUUAUCGUUUUUAGAUCUAUUUUAGUCUUCUAAAUUCGUAGCUCAAGUGCUCGGGUUUGUCAAGUCCGAAAUCUGUCUUUGUUGUUUCCUUGUCAGAAAUCUGUCUUGUUGUUUCCUUGUCAGAAAUCUGUCUUGUUGUUUCCUUGUCAGAAAUCUGUCUUUGUUGUUUAGUUGUUGUCCGAAAUUUUCUGUCCAGUUUUGUCUUGUGUUUAUGUUCUGUUUAAAUCCAGAAAAAAAAAAAAUCUCUUGUGUUGCAUACCUUAUUGUCAUUCCCUUGAGUCGUUGCUGGAAUUAAUUGCUGGGUUGCCGAAUCUGUUUGCACUUGUUUCUUGAACCUUUGUGUUGUUGCUUUGCAAAACUCGAACAUCAAAACCUUAUUGGGGAAGUCUUGAGCUUCUUGGAUCAAAGAGGUUAAUCUUGGCAGUCUUGAAACCUGAAAUAAACCUUCAACCGUGUUCUUGUUUUCAUGGAACUUUGAUCUUGAAACCAAAUCUGUCCAAGUUGUUUACGUUAAUUGCUGUGAAAUUGUGGUCUAAGCUAGCUGGCUAUUGUGUGAAAACACCCCAACAGAAGUCAAAAAAAAAUUUCAAGAAAGACGGCUCUAGUUUCCAAUUCUUGACCAGCCUUCAAGUUUUACCAAAUCUGAUUCAAACUUGGACUUUCAAAUCUGAACAGCCCUAGUCUUGGUCAGCAUUCAAGCCACCAAAUCUGAUUCAAACUUGGACUUCCAAAUCUGAACAACAUCCAAUUCUUGACAGCCUACAAGUUUACCAAAUUUUGUGCAAAAUCUGACUUCCAAAUCUGACCAGCCCCAAAAUUUCGAAUUUGGACCACUUGGGACUCCCAAAUCUGACCAAACUCCAAGGUUUCUAAUCUUGGCAACCCCAAGUGUCCAAAUCAGAUCACGGACCAAAAAGACCACGGACCAGCAGCUCAACACAUUCCAGAAAUUUGGGUUUCGGGUAGAGUUUUCUAGGAUUUUCAAAAUUUCAGCAUUCAAGUUAAUUGUCUUACUUUCUUUUGAGUCGUUAGUUAUUGUCCAGCUAUAUUCUGAGUCUUGAGUCGUGUCUAGGUCUUCAGUCAUUCACCUCCACUUAUUGCUACUAGCUUGUGUGUCACUUGUUGACUAGUCAAGAACGUACACUGCGGUGACGCCUCGUUUGUUCAACUCGAGCAACUAGCAAGCCAAGGAAUUGCUUGGUAAGAUUAUUAGAGAGUGAUACACUUGAGUGAAACACGAGUGUGAGUGACCUAUACAUCGUAUUAAAAAAAAAAAAAAAAAAAGAGAGGAAAUCGUUUUUGUUUAUUUGUUUUGCAGGUGAACUAAAUAUGUCUAGUGGAGUGGGUAGCCAAACCAUGGACAUCAAACUACAGUUGGAAGCCAUGAUGGGGGAGUUCAAACGAUUGCUUAAGAAUGAAAUUGAACCAUUGCAUGAUCGAAUUGAUCAGUUGGAGAACUCGAGACCUCCACCUACCCCGAGUAAGGGCAAAGAAUCGGCAUACUCAAACGAUGAAGAGGAAGCGUUUGAGGGAAGGUACCAAAAUGAUCAAAGGUUCCAACGUCGAGGAGAUGACACCAUUAAAGGUGUCAAACUCAAGAUUCCCUCAUUCCAAGGCAAGUCGGACCCCGAGGCGUACUUGGAAUGCGAACGAAAAAUUGAGUUAGUCUAUGAAUGCCACACCUAUACGGAGGAGCAAAAGGUGAAACUAGCAGCCGUAGAAUUCACUGACUACGCCUCCAUUUGGUGGGACCAACUUAGACUAAGCCGAAGGAGAAAUCGUGAGAGACCUGUGGAAACUUGGGAGGAAAUGAGGAGUCUGAUGAGAAAAAGGUUUGUUCCGAGCUACUAUAGUUGAGAUCUACACCGUCGGCUACAAGCUCUCAACCAAGGGUCCAUGUCAGUUGAGGAUUAUUACAAGGAGAUGGAAAUGGCCAUCAUGAAGGCGGAUUUGCGUGAAGAUGGAGAGGCCACUAUGGCUCGUUUUCUACAUGGAUUGAGGCCCGAGAUUGCCGAAGUAGUGGAACUCCAACACUACCUCGACAUGAAUGAAAUGCUCGAGAAGGCGGUUACAAUUGAACGACGCCUCAAGAGGAGGGGUACUGCGCGACAAAGCACUACUUAUCCAGCUGGAAAUUGGCGCACUUCUCAACCAAAAAGGGAGGAGAAAGCCGCAGCUCCUUCUUACCCUCCAAGGCCGAAUGGCCUCCCUUCCAAGGCAACGCCCAAGCCUGACUUUAAGGCUAAUAAUGCAGCUACCAAACCGCGUGGUCGAGACACCAAGUGUUUUAAGUGUCAAGGAUUUGGCCAUAUCGCUUCUCAAUGCCCCAGCCAAAGGACCAUGCUGAUGUUGCCAAAUGGGGAAAUUGUAUCAGAUGAGGAAGAGGAGUACGAGGGGAUACCGCCUCUAGAAGAGGAAGAGAAUGAAUCGAGUGAGGAGAUACCUACGCAUGAGGAGAUUGGAUGCCUAGUGGUUCGAAAGGUCCUCACUACCCGCGCCAAAGAGGAGGAACUGGAGGUACAACGGGACAACCUUUUCUACACAAGGUGUCAUAUCAAGGAUAAGGUGUGUAGUGUUGUUAUUGAUAGUGAGAGUUGUGCCAAUGUCGCUAGUCUACUCAUGGUAGAAAUGCUAGGGCUCCAAGUUAUCAAACAUCCAAGACCUUAUCGCCUUCAAUGGUUGAACAAUGAAGGGGAAGUCCGCGUGUUUAGACAAGUAAAAGUGCCAUUCCGAAUUGGCAAGUAUGAAGACGAGGUUACUUGUGAUGUCGUGCCAAUGCAAGCAAGUCACCUCAUUCUUGGACGGCCUUGGCAAUAUGAUCGCGAUGUCGAAUUCAAGGGAAGAGCUAAUAAAUAUGUCUUUACUCAUUGCAAUAGAAAGGUGACACUUGUACCUCUCACCCCAAAACAAGUGUAUGAAGAUCAAAUGAGGCUCCAAAGGGAGUAUGAGCUAGAACUUGAGAGGAAAAAGCGAGAGAAAAGUGAGGAAGAAAAAGGAGAGAGUAGGGCCGAAACCCUAGGGAAGAAAAAGGCAACAAGUGGGUCGGCUAUGAGAGAAGAAAAUAAGGGGAAGCUAAGCUUGCUAGCAAAAGCCAAAGAUGUAAGGCGAGCUUUGUCUUCCAACCAACUCUUACUUGUGCUUGUGUGCAAAGAAGAGUUGGUCACUUCAUCCAUACCCACUGACUCCUUGCCUUAUACUAUUUUACCUCUCUUGCAGGAAUUUGAGGACAUAUUUCCUGAGGAUGUACCUGAUGGACUACCACCGCUAAGGGGAAUCGAGCACCAAAUCGAUCUCAUUCCUGGAGCACCAUUGCCUAACAAACCAGCCUAUAGAAUGGGUCCUGAGGAAACAAAGGAAUUGCAAAGGCAAGUGGAGGAAUUGCUAAGGAAAGGUUGGGCUAGAGAAAGUCUAAGUCCAUGCGCUGUACCAGUGAUUCUCGUGCCAAAGAAAGAUGGAGCGUGGAGAAUGUGCACCGACUGUCGAGCAGUCAAUGCAAUCACGGUAAAAUAUCGUCACCCUAUCCCUAGGUUAGAUGAUAUGUUAGAUGAAUUGCAUGGUGCCAUUAUAUUCACUAAAAUUGAUUUGAAAAGUGGUUACCACCAAAUAAGAAUGAAAGAGGGAGAUGAGUGGAAAACCGCUUUCAAAACUAAACAUGGUCUAUAUGAGUGGUUAGUAAUGCCAUUUGGCUUAACUAAUGCACCUAGUACCUUCAUGCGUUUGAUGAACCAUGUUUUGAGACCUUUUCUUGGGAAAUUUGUAGUGGUUUACUUUGAUGAUAUUCUGAUUUAUAGUAGAAGCUUAGAGGAACACUUUGAGCACCUCAAAGCCAUCUUUGCAGUACUUCGAAGGGAAAGGCUAUAUGCCAACCUUAAGAAGUGCACAUUUUGCACUGAUCGUGUUGUGUUUCUAGGAUAUGUUGUAAGUGCGCAGGGCAUUCAUGUAGAUGAAGAGAAGAUUAAGUCCAUCCAAGAGUGGCCAACACCUACCUCUGUAAGUGAUGUGCGCAGCUUUCAUGGAUUAGCAAGCUUCUACCGUCGCUUUGUGAAGGAUUUUAGCACCAUUGCUGCACCUCUUACCGCGGUCAUAAAGAAGAACGAGAAGUUCUUUUGGGGGGAAGCCCAAGAUAAGGCUUUCCAAUUGCUGAAACACAAACUCACACAUGCACCACUCCUUGCAAUACCUAACUUUGAUCUCACUUUUGAAGUGGAAUGUGAUGCAUCAGGUGUAGGAGUAGGAGCCGUACUCAUGCAAGGAGGGAGACCGAUUGCCUACUUUAGUGAGAAAUUAAAUGGCGCGGUCCUCAACUAUUCAACUUAUGACAAGGAGAUGUUUGCCCUCGUACGUGCUUUGGAGACAUGGCAACACUACCUACGUGCCCGGGAAUUCGUCAUCAAAACUGACCAUGAGUCUCUCAAGCACCUAAAAGGACAACAAAAGCUGAGCAAACGGCAUGCCCGAUGGGUAGCCUUCAUCGAGUCUUUUCCAUACGUCAUCAAAUACAAAACAGGUAAGUCUAAUGUAGUAGCUGACGCUUUAUCUCGGAGACACAUUUUGCUCACUGCCUUAGAUGCUAAACUCCUAGGCUUUGAACUCAUGAAGGAGUUGUAUAAGGAUGGCUUGGAUUUUGCCAACGCUUAUGCGAAUUGGGGAAAAUCUGACUUUGAAAAGUUCUUUGUACAUGAUGGGUUCUUAUUUUAUCUUACCAAGCUGUGCAUUCCUCGAGGGUCCAUACGUGACUUACUUAUUCAGGAGUCACAUAGUGGUGGACUAAUGGGACACUUUGGUGUCACCAAGACAUUAGCUGUAUUGCAGGAACACUUCCAUUGGCCUCGCAUGCGCAAGGACGUGGAGAGGAUUGUUGAAAGAUGUGGUGUGUGCCACAAAGCUAAGUCUCGGGUCAACCCAAACGGUUUGUAUACUCCUUUACCCAUACCUCACCACCCUUGGGUUGACAUCUCCAUGGAUUUCGUGCUUGGUUUACCUCGUUCAAAGCGUGGUCAUGACUCUAUAUUUGUUGUGGUAGAUAGGUUCUCCAAAAUGGCUCACUUUAUUGCAUGUCAUAAGACGGAUGAUGCUUUACACAUUGCUGAUUUAUUCUUUAAAGAGGUUGUUCGUUUGCAUGGCAUACCUAGGACAAUAGUAUCCGAUAGAGAUGUCAAGUUUUUGAGCUAUUUCUGGAAAUCUUUAUGGGGUCGGUUGGGAACCAAACUGUUGUUCUCUACCUCUAGUCAUCCUCAAACGGACGGACAAACUGAGGUAGUCAAUAGGACUUUAUCCACACUCCUACGUGCAAUCAUAAAGAAAAAUAUCAAGUCAUGGGAGGAGUGUCUACCUCAUGUUGAGUUUGCAUACAAUAGGGUUGUGCAUAGUGCUACACAAUUCUCGCCUUUUGAAGUUGUGUAUGGUUUGAACCCCUUAACUCCCUUAGAUUUGUUGCCAUUACCUUCUUCUGAGCAUAUGAACUUAGAUGGCAAGAAGAAAGCUGAGUUCGUGAGAUCAUUACACGACAAGGUUCGUACCAACAUCGAGAGGAGGACGGCCCAAUAUGUCCAACAAGCUAAUAAGCACAGGCGCAAGCUUGUCUUUGAACCAGGUGAUUGGGUCUGGUUACAUUUGCGCAAGGAGAGGUUUCCAAAACAACGGCAAAGCAAGCUGUCACCAAGAGGAGAUGGGCCUUUUCAAGUUAUUGAGCGCAUCAACGACAAUGCAUACCGCUUAGAUCUGCCUGGUGAGUAUACUGUUAGUGCUACAUUCAAUGUUGCUGAUCUAAGUCCAUUUAUUGCAGGGGACGAGUACGAUUUGAGGGCAAAUCCUUUUCAAGAGGAGGGGAAUGAUGCGGUUGAGCACGAGGCCCAAAGUGUACAAGUAGACCCUGUGAAGGUGCCCCAAGGCCCAGUGACACGAGCACGAGCCAAGAGAUUCAAGGAGUCCCUUCAAGCCUUGGUACGUGCAGUCCAAACCCAAGAGAAACCGGUCAUUGAAGGAAUUGAGUUGGAAUAUCCUUGCACGACUACUAAAAUGCUGCUUACAAUUGAAGAUGCAAAUGUUCAAGCUCCAAACGGCGGGCUUAGCCGCAGUUAAGUACCCUCGCUGAGCCGUACGGGGGUCUCGCUGUCCGAUCAGCGAGUCGGGGGUCCAAGGGGGCGACGCGCCCCUGGCUUGGGGGCCCGGGGGCGCAGCGAAGCCCCCGGUGGGGGUUCGGGGCAACGCCACCGAAGCUUAUGAUCUAUAGUUAGUUGGGCUAGCUUUCGGUCAAGUGAAGGCCCAAGGGGCUGGCCGAACUUUCCUUGUUAUUUUUCCAGUUUAUUAGGUCUUAGUCACGGCUAUUAAUAGCCUCAAGCCGCAUGUUACAUUCAGUUUUUGAGAGUAUUGAAUAAAAUUUCCAGAAUUUCGUCCAUUCCUUGUGGGAAAUUCCCUUAGCUUGUAAAAGCUAAGUUGAACAUCCUAGAGUUGAUCCUAGGCUGUUCUUGACUUAUCAAUCAAGCACACAUACUUGAUUGUGGCGUCCUCUACCGUUAAAUCUGUUCUUGAGUGGUCCAAGUUCGGGUUCAACUCCGUCAAAUCUUCAUCGUGUUCCUCUAGAUCCGAAGUAGCUUCCGCGUCUCGCAUCAGCGUUACAACCUACGAAAACAAAAUAACCUUCAACUUGAAACAAUUCAGAAAUCGGGUAAAGAACUAAGGGUACAUUAUUAAUUAAAUGGUAAGAAGGUGUAGAACAAGAUUUAAAUGAGAAAACUCCCUUUGACACUUCGAUAUUCCUUCCACCAAUUGAUUCAACUUGAGAUUCCAGUGCUAGUCCUUGACAUUUCUCAUCAACACCUACAUAAGAGCAACAAGAGUUAGUGCUAGUAACAUGCUCAAAAUAAGGCAAAGGUGAUGAAUGAACCAUAGGUAAAGAACAAGAAGUAGAAUCUGGAAUUUCCCUUUUAAGAUGAGCUCGAAUGAAUCCUCCAAUGGCGCGGACAGAUUUGAUUGGACAUUGUUCCAUGAAUUGAUACCAAAGAGAUUUAGUUCCUAAAAGACAAACUCCAUGGAAACUCACAAAGUGUCCAGGUGACUUCGGGAUGGAACAUGCCAUGACCAACUCUACUUGACUUUGUUUAACCUGCACAAACGAGGAUAUACUAAACAAAACACAUGUUAUCUGGUUAGCAAACAAAGUGUUCACACGUUCAAUGUUUGCAGACAUGGUCAACUCUUUUUCUUGACUCUUCACUAAGGCCAAAUUGUUCUUGCUUAUCCCCACUCCCUUCUUCUCGGACCAUUGAUCCUUCAUUGCACUUGAGUUUUGUUUUUCAUUGGGGAGCUCUUGUUCACAGCUCGGCAGCAACUCAUUCGUACGUGGCUCUUCAAUCAACAAGGGACUAGACUGAAUUUUUCCUUUAUUACCACCAGUUGGCACAUGGUUAAGUUGCUCCAAGUGUGAAUCCAGCACUUGGCUAAGUCUUUCCAUCAUGUCAUCAAUCAAUGUUAUUCUGACUUCGGAAUUUUUCCUUUGAUUCUCGAAGCUUUGACUCAAUUCGAGAAUUCUCAAACUCCACGUCUUGAUUGUCAAGACACUUCUUAGAUGCACCUCGUUUGCUUGAAGUUGACCUCGAUUUAGAUGCUCUACGCAGACUUCUUUGCUCCUUCUCAUACUCAUCACAAUCUUGUUAUACCUUUCAUAUACACACAAAGCACGGUGGCGCUGCAUCUCCUCCCGGAGUGAAUGAUACCCACGUUGUGAACUGGAUGUCAUGGAACUAGAGUACUUGAGAGUAGCCUGCUUGGAACCCUUCUCUUGAGAGGCUCAUCCUCCAAGAAUUCUUGGUUGUAUGAGUAAGAGGCAACUUCCCUAGGCAUGAUUAUGUGACCUGCAAAAAUGGUUAGCAAAGAAAAGGAAUUUUCCUCACGUCACACAAGCUCACGUGUAUGUGCUCAUCCCUCGUGUAUCUCUUGAAGCGUUCUAAUGGACUUACCAAAUACCUUUACCUGUUGGAUUAGGUAGUUGAGAAAUGCUGCUCAAGUCCAACACUGUUACCACCUUUCCACAAGUGUAAACAGAAUGUAAGAGAAAAAGUAGGAAAGUGUUCCUAAAAUCUAGGAGAAAAUAUAGGAGCAAAUGUAGGAGAAAAUGUAGGAAAGUUUCCUAAAAUCUAGGAAGAGAAUAUAGGAGAUUUUCCUAAAGUGGAUGAGAGAAUAUAGGAAAGGUCCUAAAAAUGGAUGAGAGAAUUUGAGGAGAGUUUCCUAAAAAAUGGAUGAGAGAAUUUAGGAAAGUUUCCAAAAAAUAGAUGAGAGAGUUUUAGGAAAAUUUCCUAAAAAUGGAUGAAUGGAUGAGAGAAUUUAGGAAAGUUUCCAAAAAAAUGGAUGAGAGAGUUUUAGGAAAAUUUCCAAAAAAAAUGGAUGAGAGAAUUUAGGAAAGUUUCCUAAAAAUGGAUGAGAGAAUUUAGGAAAGUUUCCAAAAAAAAUGGAUGAGAGAGUUUGGGAAAGUUUCCUAAAAAGGUAGGAGAGAGAGUGUCCAAGUGAGUACAAAGAGUUAUCCAAGUGCUUUACUUAGUUUCCUAAUUGAUUUUGGAAACAAGUUAGUUUUUGGAAACCUUUUGAAAAUCCUUUUCCUCUUGAGCAACUUUUGGUAACCUUCUUGAAACAACUUUUGGUAAUCUUCUUGAAACAACUUUUGGUAACCUUCUUGAAACAACUUUUGGUAACUUCCAAAUUCUAUUCCAAGAAAGAUUGCACAAAUCAGAUUUGGUUCCCUAUUCAAAACAAUUCGGUUGCCCCUUUCUUUCCUUUCCUUUUUUUUUCUUGCCAACCGAUUCCUUUUUUUUUCUUUUUUUUUCGUUUUUGUUUUCUGUUUUUUUUUCUUGACUACAACUAUCAACCACGACACAAAACAAGGAAGUCCCCAAAUAAUAACUACCAAGAACUCCAAGAUCUUUCAAGAACUUCCAAGGAAGUUGUCAGGAACUUCAGAAAUUUCAAGAUUGUGGUCAAGAAUUCAAGAAGCUCAAGACUAUUGUAAGUUCUCUUCAAGAUUCACAAAAUUCCAACAAGUUUUGCCAAAAAUCCAGAUUUGAAAACCAAGUAAACAAGUUGGAUAACACAAACAACAAGGCUGGACAGAUUUGUAUUCGGAUGAACAGUAACUAUGAACAGUGUCGGUGAACAUUACCUGUGAACAGUGUCGGUGAACAGUACCGGUGAACAGUGACUCUUUUUUUUUUUUUUUUUAAGGCAGCGGAAAGUACUAAGAAUUCUACGACACAACUACGAAAAAUAUGGAUAUAACGAAAGAUACCUCUACCAAAGCUCUGAAGCCAACUGAUACGUUCCUCGAUCAACUUGUUUCGAGACACGUAGCACGUUUGCCCAAGGAUCUAGCGAGGAUGUCCAACGCUUGGAAUUGCGGGAUCUAGAACCAAACGGACGACACGAUUUGAUUCAAGACGGUAGACGACACUCCGAUGAAGGUGAAUACACCAGGGGAAUAGGUCGGUAGAACAAUCUAGGACAGGACGCAAGACUGCUCAAAACCCUUGCCAAAGCAAGUAAAGGGGUCGAAUCUCUCUCUCAAGAAGAAUCGAAAAUAUGCAAAACUUUAUUGAUAAAACGUCCACCUUUAUGCUUACAAAGCAAGCCUUUAUAUAGGCAAAACUAAUGAAACCCUAAUAUCGCAAGGCUAGAGGGUCGGCCACUCUUUGGACAAGGUGGGCCGGCCCAUGGACUCAAUAAAAAGGGCCUAGUGGUUCGGCCAUCCUUAGACAAAGGUGGGCCGAAUCCAUGGCUAACAAAAAGGACUAAUAUAAACUUAAGGCUCCUAACACUAAGGCCUAAUCGGCCAUGGCCCACUUGGCUCUUCACGGGCUCUCUUCACGGGCUUGGAUCAUCGUGUAGACAACUGGGUUAUCACCUUCCAAGCCUUCAAUGUCUCGAUGAACUCCUUGUUGGUCUUGAACAUUCCGCACAAGGGCUUGGAGUGAUUCCUUGAAUUGCUUAGCCCGUGCACGUGUGACUGGGCCCAAUGGGACAAGGUGGGCCAAGGUCCGUGCACACAUCAUCAAGGGAGCACACCUAGGGGUAUACAUGACAAAUCACCUACCGCACCUACCACUAGGAAGCACAACAUGAUUAUUAAGGCUAAAGAUGUUAGAAAAGUGGUGAACUCUAAUCAGCCUAUACUUCUCAUGAUUUGCAAGCAUGUGCUCUUGGAUGUUGCUGAGCUCGACAAGGCGUUGCCUGCGAGCAUAGUUGCUCUUUUGCAAGAAUUUGAGGAUGUUUUCCCUGACGAGGUCCCUGAUGGCUUACCACCCAUUCGGGGAAUUGAACACCAAAUCGACCUCAUUCCUGGAGCACCAUUGCCCAACAAACCUGCUUACCGCAUGGGCCCUGAGGAGACCAAGGAGCUUCAAAGGCAAGUUGAUGGCCUCUUAGGUAAGGGUUGGGUAAAGGAAAGUCUAAGUCCUUGCGCUGUGCCUGUGAUACUUGUUCCCAAAAAGGACGGUACUUGGCGCAUGUGCACUGACUGUCGGGCUGUGAACGCUAUCACUGUCAAAUAUCGUCAUCCCAUUCCUAGACUUGAUGAUAUGCUUGAUGAACUCGAUGGUGCCAUUAUUUUCACCAAAAUAGACUUAAGGAGCGGCUAUCAUCAAAUUCGGAUGAAAGAGGCGACGAGUGGAAAACAGCCUUCAAAACCAAACAUGGUCUCUAUGAGUGGCUAGUCAUGCCUUUUGGCUUAACUAAUGCCCCUAGCACCUUCAUGCGACUAAUGAACCAUGUGUUGAGACACUUUAUUGGCAAGUUUGUCAUUGUUUACUUUGAUGACAUCCUGAUCUAUAGUCAUAGUGAGCAUGAGCACCUAGAGCAUGUGAGAUUAGUUCUUGAGACACUUCGACAGGCGCAUCUUUACGCCAACCUCAAGAAGUGCACCUUUUGUACUAACGAGCUUGUGUUUUUAGGCUAUGUGGUAAGUUCGCAGGGCAUCAAGGUGGACAAAUCCAAGAUUGAGGCCAUCGAGCAAUGGCCAACUCCCACAUCCGUCCCUGACGUGCGCAGCUUUCUUGGAUUGGCGGGCUUUUACCGGCGCUUUGUCAAAGAUUUUAGCACCAUUGCCGCCCCGUUGACCGCCGUGACAAAGAAGAAUGACAAGUUCCACUGGGGAGAAUCACAAGAACAAGCAUUUCUCGCCCUCAAGGACACACUCACACAUGCACCUGUGUUAGCAUUACCAAAUUUUCACAAGACUUUUGAAAUUGAAUGUGAUGCUUCUGGUGUAGGUAUUGGAGCGGUCCUCAUGCAAGACAAGAGGCCUUGUGCCUUCUUCAGUGAGAAACUGGGGGGAGCUGCAUUAAACUACCCCACGUACGACAAGGAGUUGUACGCUUUAGUGAGGGCUUUGGAGACUUGGCAACACUAUCUUCGCCCUCGGGAGUUCGUGAUACACACUGAUCACGAGUCAUUGAAGUACCUCAAGGGACAACCCAAGUUAAGCAAGCGACAUGCCAAAUGGGUAAGCUUCAUUGACACCUUUUCGUAUGUCAUUAAGUAUAAGAUUGGCAAAACGAAUGUAGUGGCUGAUGCAUUAUCACGUAAGACAUUCGUUGCUUGCCCUUCUGGAUGCCAAGUUACUAGGGUUCGAAAUGGUUAAGGAACUCUACACAAAUGAUCAUGACUUUGGUGAUAUCUAUGUUGCUUGUGUUAAGAACCCGCAUGGAAAAUACUUCUUGCAUGAUGGAUUUCUAUUCCAUGUAGAUAAACUGUGUGUACCUAAUUCUUCCAUUCGCGAUCUUUUGAUUCGAGAGGCACAUAGUGGUGGUCUCAUGGGCCACUUUGGCAUCACCAAGACUCUGGCCAUGUUACAAGAGCACUUUUACUGGCCUCAUAUGCGUAGAGAUGUUGAACGCAAGGUUGGUAGAUGUGCUACUUGUCACAAGGCAAAGUCUAAGACAAAUCCAUAUGGCUUGUAUACCCCCGUUACCUAUCCCUCACCAUCCUUGGGUUGAUUUGUCUAUGGACUUUGUAUUAGGAUUGCCUAGAUCAACAAGGGGUAAUGACUCCAUCUUUGUUGUGGUUGAUAGAUUCUCUAAGAUGGCUCAUUUUAUUCCUUGCCACAAAACUGACGAUACAUCUCAUAUUGCUAAUCUGUUCUUCAAAGAAAUUGUCCGUCUGCAUGGCCUGCCUAAAACUAUUGUCAGUGAUAGAGAUGUGAAAUUCUUGAGUUACUUUUGGAAGACUUUGUGGUCCAAACUGGGCACUAGGUUAUUAUUCUCCCCACUAGUCAUCCACAAAGCGAUGGACAAACUGAAGUUGUCAAUCGCACACUUGGCACUUUGCACUCUCUCGGGCCUUGAUUAAAAAGAAUCUUAAGACUUGGGAAGAGUGCCUCCCUCAUGUUGAAUUCACCUACAAUCAAACUGUGCAUAGUGCCACACAAUACUCCCCCUUUGAGAUUGUUUAUGGCUUCAACCCCGUAACCCCCCUUGAUUUGGUGCCCUUACCUUCCUCUGAGCACACAAGCUUAGAUGGGAAAAAGAAAGCUGAUUCUGUGCGCAGGUUACAUGAGGCCGUGCGAGCAAACAUUGAGAAGCGUACGCAGCAAUACAUCCAGCAAGCCAACAAGCACCGUCGCAAGAUGAUUUUUGAGCCUGGAGAUUGGGUUUGGCUACACUUGAGGAAAGAGCGAUUUCCCAAGCAACGCCAAAAGCAAAUUGUCCCCAAGAGGUGAUGGACCAUUUCGGGUACUCCAACGAGUCAAUGACAACGCAUACAAGUUGGAGCUACCUGGGGAGUACAAUGUUAGUGCAACCUUCAACGUCACGGACCUAAGCCCAUUUCUUGACGAGGAGGAUCCAGAUUUGAGGGCAAAUCCUUCUCAAGAGGAGGGGACUGAUGUGUGCACGAGUCUCAGCCCAUGCAAUGACCCAGUCCGAGUUCCAUUGGGCCCAGUCACACGUGCACGGGCCAAGCUCUUCAAAGAACUCGUGCCAAAGAAAGAUGGAGCGUGGAGAAUGUGCACCGACUGUCGAGCAGUCAAUGCAAUCACGGUAAAAUAUCGUCACCCUAUCCCUAGGUUAGAUGAUAUGUUAGAUGAAUUGCAUGGUGCCAUUAUAUUCACUAAAAUUGAUUUGAAAAGUGGUUACCACCAAAUAAGAAUGAAAGAGGGAGAUGAGUGGAAAACCGCUUUCAAAACUAAACAUGGUCUAUACGAGUGGUUAGUAAUGCCAUUUGGCUUAACUAAUGCACCUAGUACCUUCAUGCGUUUGAUGAACCAUGUUUUGAGACCUUUUCUUGGGAAAUUUGUAGUGGUUUACUUUGAUGAUAUUCUGAUUUAUAGUAGAAGCUUAGAGGAACACCUUGAGCACCUCAAAGCCAUCUUUGCAGUACUUCGAAGGGAAAGGCUAUAUGCCAACCUUAAGAAGUGCACAUUUUGCACUGAUCGUGUUGUGUUUCUAGAAUAUGUUGUAAGUGCGCAGGGCAUUCAUGUAGAUGAAGAGAAGAUUAAAUCUAUCCAAGAGUGGCCAGCACCUACUUCUGUAAGUGAUGUGCGCAGCUUUCAUGGAUUAGCAAGCUUCUACCGUCGUUUUGUGAAGGAUUUUAGCACCAUUGCUGCACCUCUUACCGCGGUCAUAAAGAAGAACGAGAAGUUCUUUUGGGGGGAAGCCCAAGAUAAGGCUUUCCAAUUGCUGAAACACAAACUCACACAUGCACCACUCCUUGCAAUACCUAACUUUGAUCUCACUUUUGAAGUGGAAUGUGAUGCAUCAGGUGUAGGAGUAGGAGGCGUACUCAUGCAAGGAGGGAGACCGAUUGCCUACUUUAGUGAGAAAUUAAAUGGCGCGGUCCUCAACUAUUCAACUUAUGACAAGGAGAUGUUUGCCCUCGUACGUGCUUUGGAGACAUGGCAACACUACCUACGUGCCCGGGAAUUCGUCAUCAAAACUGACCAUGAGUCUCUCAAGCACCUAAAAGGACAACAAAAGCUGAGCAAACGGCAUGCCCGAUGGGUAGCUUUCAUCGAGUCUUUUCCAUACGUCAUCAAAUACAAAACAGGUAAGUCUAAUGUAGUAGCUGACGCUUUAUCUCGGAGACACAUUUUGCUCACUGCCUUAGAUGCUAAACUCCUAGGCUUUGAGCUCAUGAAGGAGUUGUAUAAGGAUGACUUGGAUUUUGCCAACGCUUAUGCGAAUUGGGGAAAAUCUGACUUUGAAAAGUUCUUUGUACAUGAUGGGUUCUUAUUUUAUCUUACCAAGCUGUGCAUUCCUCGAGGGUCCAUACGCGACUUACUUAUUCAGGAAUCACAUAGUGGUGGACUAAUGGGACACUUUGGUGUCACCAAGACAUUAGCUGUAUUGCAGGAACACUUCCAUUGGCCUCGCAUGCGCAAGGACGUGGAGAGGAUUGUUGAAAGAUGUGGUGUGUGUCACAAAGCUAAGUCUCGGGUCAACCCAAACGGUUUGUAUACUCCUUUACCCAUACCUCACCAACCUUGGGUUGACAUUUCCAUGGAUUUCGUACUUGGUUUACCUCGUUCAAAGCGUGGCCAUGACUCUAUAUUUGUUGUGGUAGAUAGGUUCUCCAAAAUGGCUCACUUUAUUGCAUGUCAUAAGACGGAUGACGCUUUACACAUUGCUGAUUUAUUCUUUAAAGAGGUUGUUCGUUUGCAUGGCAUACCUAGGACUAUAGUAUCCGAUAGAGAUGUCAAGUUUUUGAGCUAUUUUUGGAAAUCUUUAUGGGGUCGGUUGGGAACCAAACUGUUGUUCUCUACCUCUAGUCAUCCUCAAACGGACGGACAAACUGAAGUAGUCAAUAGGACUUUAUCCACACUCCUACGUGCAAUCAUAAAGAAAAAUAUCAAGUCAUGGGAGGAGUGUCUACCUCAUGUUGAGUUUGCAUACAAUAGGGUUGUGCAUAGUGCUACACAAUUCUCGCCCUUUGAAGUUGUGUAUGGUUUGAACCCCUUAACUCCCUUAGAUUUGUUGCCAUUACCUUCUUCUGAGCAUAUGAACUUAGAUGGCAAGAAGAAAGCUGAGUUCGUGAGAUCAUUACAUGACAAGGUUCGUACCAACAUCGAGAGGAGGACGGCCCAAUAUGUCCAACAAGCUAACAAGCACAGGCGCAAGCUUGUCUUUGAACCAGGUGAUUGGGUCUGGUUACAUUUGCGCAAGGAGAGGUUUCCAAAACAACGGCAAAGCAAGCUGUCACCACGAGGAGAUGGGCCUUUUCAAGUUAUUGAGCGCAUCAACGACAACGCAUAUCGCUUAGAUCUGCCUGGUGAGUAUACUGUUAGUGCUACAUUCAAUGUUGCUGAUCUAAGUCCAUUUAUUACAGGGGACGAGUACGAUUUGAGGGCAAAUCCUUUUCAAGAGGAGGGGAAUGAUGCGGUUGAGCACGAGGCCCAAAGUGUACAAGUAGACCCUGUGAAGGUGCCCCAAGGCCCAGUGACACGAGCACGAGCUAAAAGAUUCAAGGAGUCCCUCCAAGCCUUGGUACGUGCCAUCCAAACCCAAGAGAAACCGGGCAUUGAAGGAAUUGAGUUGGAAUAUCCUUGCACGACUACUAAAAUGCUGCUUACAAUUGAAGAUGCGAGUGUUCAAGCUCCAAACGGCGGGCUGAGCCGCAGUUAAGUACCCUCGCUGAGCCGUACGGGGGUCUCGCUGUCCAGUCAGCGAGUCGGGGGUCCAAGGGGGCGACGCGCCCCUGGCUUGGGGGCCCGGGGGCGCAGCGAAGCCCCCGGUGGGGGUUCGGGGGCAACGCCCCCGAAGCUUAUGAUCUAUAGUUAGUUGGGCUAGCUUUCGGUCAAGUAUAGGGGCAAGGGGCUGGCCGAACUUUCCUUGUUAUUUUUCCAGUUUAUUAGGUCUUAGUUACGGCUAUUAAUAGCCUCAAGCCGCAUGUUACAUUCAGUUUUUGAGAGUAUUGAAUAAAAUUUCCAGAAUUUCGUCCAUUCCUUGUGGCAAAUUCCCUUAGCUUGUGAAAGCUAAGUUGAACAUCCUAGAGUCGAUCCUAGGCUGUUCUUGACUUAUCAAUCAAGCACACAUACUUGAUUGUGGCGUCCUCUACCGUUAAAUCUGUUCUUGAGUGGUCCAAGUUCGGGUUCAACUCCAUCAAAUCUUCAUCGUGUUCCUCUAGAUCCGAAGUAGCUUCCGCGUCUCGCAUCAGCGUUACAACCUACGAAAACAAAAUAACCUUCAACUUGAAACAAUUCAGAAAUCGGGUAAAGAACUAAGGGUACAUUAUUAAUUAAAUGGUAAGAAGGUGUAGAACAAGAUUUAAAUGAGAAAACUCCCUUUGACACUUCGAUAUUCCUUCCACCAAUUGAUUCAACUUGAGAUUCCAGUGCUAGUCCUUGACAUUUCUCAUCAACACCUACAUAAGAGCAACAAGAGUUAGUGCUAGUAACAUGCUCAAAAUAAGGCAAAGGUGAUGAAUGAACCAUAGGUAAAGAACAAGAAGUAGAAUCUGGAAUUUCCCUUUUAAGAUGAGCUCGAAUGAAUCCUCCAAUGGCGCGGACAGAUUUGAUUGGACAUUGUUCCAUGAAUUGAUACCAAAGAGAUUUAGUUCCUAAAAGACAAACUCCAUGGAAACUCACAAAGUGUCCAGGUGACUUCGGGAUGGAACAUGCCAUGACCAACUCUACUUGACUUUGUUUAACCUGCACAAACGAGGAUAUACUAAACAAAACACAUGUUAUCUGGUUAGCAAACAAAGUGUUCACACGUUCAAUGUUUGCAGACAUGGUCAACUCUUUUUCUUGACUCUUCACUAAGGCCAAAUUGUUCUUGCUUAUCCCCACUCCCUUCUUCUCGGACCAUUGAUCCUUCAUUGCACUUGAGUUUUGUUUUUCAUUGGGGAGCUCUUGUUCACAGCUCGGCAGCAACUCAUUCGUACGUGGCUCUUCAAUCAACAAGGGACUAGACUGAAUUUUUCCUUUAUUACCACCAGUUGGCACAUGGUUAAGUUGCUCCAAGUGUGAAUCCAGCACUUGGCUAAGUCUUUCCAUCAUGUCAUCAAUCAAUGCUUUAUUCUGACUUCGGAAUUUUUCCUUUGAUUCUCGAAGCUUUGACUCAAUUCGAGAAUUCUCAAACUCCACGUCUUGAUUGUCAAGACACUUCUUAGAUGCACCUCGUUUGCUUGAAGUUGACCUCGAUUUAGAUGCUCUACGCAGACUUCUUUGCUCCUUCUCAUACUCAUCACAAUCUUGUUUAUACCUUUCAUAUACACACAAAGCACGGUGGCGCUGCAUCUCCUCCCGGAGUGAAUGAUACCCACGUUGUGAACUGGAUGUCAUGGAACUAGAGUACUUGAGAGUAGCCUGCUUGGAACCCCUUCUCUUGAGAGGCUCAUCCUCCAAGAAUUCUUGGUUGUAUGAGUAAGAGGCAACUUCCCUAGGCAUGAUUAUGUGACCUGCAAAAAUGGUUAGCAAAGAAAAGGAAUUUUCCUCACGUCACACAAGCUCACGUGUAUGUGCUCAUCCCUCGUGUAUCUCUUGAAGCGUUCUAAUGGACUUACCAAAUACCUUUACCUGUUGGAUUAGGUAGUUGAGAAAUGCUGCUCAAGUCCAACAACUGUUACCAACCUUUCCACAAGUGUAACCACAAGAAUGUAAGAGAAAAAGUAGGAAAGUGUUCCUAAAAUCUAGGAGAAAAUAUAGGAGCAAAUGUAGGAGAAAAUGUAGGAAAGUUUCCUAAAAUCUAGGAAGAGAAUAUAGGAGAUUUUCCUAAAGUGGAUGAGAGAAUAUAGGAAAGGUCCUAAAAAUGGAUGAGAGAAUUUGAGGAGAGUUUCCUAAAAAAUGGAUGAGAGAAUUUAGGAAAGUUUCCAAAAAAUAGAUGAGAGAGUUUUAGGAAAAUUUCCUAAAAAUGGAUGAAUGGAUGAGAGAAUUUAGGAAAGUUUCCAAAAAAAUGGAUGAGAGAGUUUUAGGAAAAUUUCCAAAAAAAAUGGAUGAGAGAAUUUAGGAAAGUUUCCUAAAAAUAGAUGAGAGACCUUAGGAAAGUUUCCAAAAAAAAUAGAUGAGAGAGUUUGGGAAAGUUUCCUAAAAAGGUAGGAGAGAGAGUGUCCAAGUGAGUACAAAGAGUUAUCCAAGUGCUUUACUUAGUUUCCUAAUUGAUUUUGGAAACAAGUUAGUUUUUGGAAACCUUUUGAAAAUCCUUUUCCUCUUGAGCAACUUUUGGUAACCUUCUUGAAACAACUUUUGGUAAUCUUCUUGAAACAACUUUUGGUAACCUUCUUGAAACAACCUUUGGUAAUCUUCUUGAAACAACUUUUGGUAACUUCCAAAUUCUAUUCCAAGAAAGAUUGCACAAAUCAGAUUUGGUUCCCUAUUCAAAACAAUUCGGUUGCCCCUUUCUUUCCUUUCCUUUUUUUUUUCUUGCCAACCGAUUCCUUUUUUCUUUCUUUUUUUUUUCGUUUUUGUUUUCUGUUUUUUUUUUCUUGACUACAACUAUCAACCACGACACAAAACAAGGAAGUCCACAAAUAAUAACUACCAAAAACUCCAAGAUCUUUCAAGAACUUCCAAGGAAGUUGUCAGGAACUUCAGAAAUUUCAAGAUUGUGGUCAAGAAUUCAAGAAGCUCAAGACUAUUGUAAGUUCUCUUCAAGAUUCACAAAAUUCCAACAAGUUUUGCCAAAAAUCCAGAUUUGAAAACCAAGUAAACAAGUUGGAUAACACAAACAACAAGGCUGGACAGAUUUGUAUUCGGUGAACAGUAACUAUGAACAGUACGAUGAACAGUGUCGGUGAACAGUACGGUGAACAGUGACUUUUUUUUUUUUUUGAACAAGGCAGCGGAAAGUACUAAGAAUUCUACGACACAACUACGAAAAAUAUGGAUAUAACGAAAGAUACCUCUACCAAAGCUCUGAAGCCAACUGAUACGUUCCUCGAUCAACUUGUUUCGAGACACGUAGCACGUUUGCCCAAGGAUCUAGCGAGGAUGUCCAACGCUUGGAAUUGCGGGAUCUAGAACCAAACGGACGACACGAUUUGAUUCAAGACGGUAGACGACACUCCGAUGAAGGUGAAUACACCAGGGGAAUAGGUCGGUAGAACAAUCUAGGACAGGACGCAAGACUGCUCAAAACCCUUGCCAAAGCAAGUAAAGGGGUCGAAUCUCUCUCUCAAGAAGAAUCGAAAAUAUGCAAAACUUUAUUGAUAAAACGUCCACCUUUAUGCUUACAAAGCAAGCCUUUAUAUAGGCAAAACUAAUGAAACCCUAAUAUCGCAAGGCUAGAGGGUCGGCCACUCUUUGGACAAGGUGGGCCGGCCCAUGGACUCAAUAAAAAGGGCCUAGUGGUUCGGCCAUCCUUAGACAAAGGUGGGCCGAAUCCAUGGCUAACAAAAAGGACUAAUAUAAACUUAAGGCUCCUAACACUAAGGCCUAAUCGGCCAUGGCCCACUUGGCUCUUCACGGGCUCUCUUCACGGGCUUGGAUCAUCGUGUAGACAACUGGGUUAUCACCUUCCAAGCCUUCAAUGUCUCGAUGAACUCCUUGUUGGUCUUGAACAUUCCGCACAAGGGCUUGGAGUGAUUCCUUGAAUUGCUUAGCCCGUGCACGUGUGACUGGGCCCAAUGGGACAAGGUGGGCCAAGGUCCGUGCACACAUCAUCAAGGGAGCACACCUAGGGGUAUACAUGACAAAUCACCUACCGCACCUACCACUAGGAAGCACAACAUGAUUAUUAAGGCUAAAGAUGUUAGAAAAGUGGUGAACUCUAAUCAGCCUAUACUUCUCAUGAUUUGCAAGCAUGUGCUCUUGGAUGUUGCUGAGCUCGACAAGGUGUUGCCUGUGAGCAUAGUUGUUCUUUUAGAAGAAUUUGAGGAUGUUUUCCCUAACGAGGUCCCUGAUGGCUUACCACCCAUUCGGGGAAUUGAACACCAAAUCGACCUCAUUCCUGGAGCACCAUUGCCCAACAAACCUGCUUACCGCAUGGGCCCUGAGGAGACCAAGGAGCUUCAAAGGCAAGUUGAUGGCCUCUUAGGUAAGGGUUGGGUAAAGGAAAGUCUAAGUCCUUGCGCUGUGCCUGUGAUACUUGUUCCCAAAAAGGACGGUACUUGGCGCAUGUGCACUGACUGUCAGGCUGUGAACGCUAUCACUGUCAAAUAUCGUCAUCCCAUUCCUAGACUUGAUGAUAUGCUUGAUGAACUCAAUGGUGCCAUUAUUUUCACCAAAAUAGACUUAAGGAGCGGCUAUCAUCAAAUUCGGAUGAAAGAAGGCGACGAGUGGAAAACAGCCUUCAAAACCAAACAUGGUCUCUAUGAGUGGCUAGUCAUGCCUUUUGGCUUAACUAAUGCCCGUAGCACCUUCAUGCGACUAAUGAACCAUGUGUUGAGACACUUUAUUGGCAAGUUUGUCAUUGUUUACUUUGAUGACAUCCUGAUCUAUAGUCGUAGUGAGCAUGAGCACCUAGUGCAUGUGAGAUUAGUUCUUGAGACACUUCGACAGGCGCGUCUUUACGCCAACCUCAAGAAGUGCACCUUUUGUACUAACGAGCUUGUGUUUUUAGGCUAUGUGGUAAGUUCGCAGGGCAUCAAGGUGGACAAAUCUAAGAUUGAGGCCAUCGAGCAAUGGCCAACUCCCACGUCCGUCCCUGACGUGCACAGCUUUCUUGGAUUGGCGGGCUUUUACCGGCGCUUUGUCAAAGAUUUUAGCACCAUUGCCGCCCCGUUGACCGCCGUGACAAAGAAGAAUGACAAGUUCCACUGGGGAGAAUCACAAGAACAAGCAUUUCUCGCCCUCAAGGACACACUCACACAUGCACCUGUGUUAGCAUUACCAAAUUUUCACAAGACUUUUGAAAUUGAAUGUGAUGCUUCUGGUGUAGGUAUUGGAGCGGUCCUCAUGCAAGACAAGAGGCCUUGUGCCUUCUUUAGUGAGAAACUGGGGGGAGCUGCAUUAAACUACCCCACGUACGACAAGGAGUUGUACGCAUUAGUGAGGGCUUUGGAGACUUGGCAACACUAUCUUCGCCCUCGGGAGUUCGUGAUACACACUGAUCACGAGUCAUUGAAGUACCUCAAGGGACAACCCAAGUUAAGCAAGCGACAUGCCAAAUGGGUAAGCUUCAUUGACACCUUUUCGUAUGUCAUUAAGUAUAAGAUUGGCAAAACGAAUGUAGUGGCUGAUGCAUUAUCACGUAGACAUUCGUUGCUUGCCCUUCUGGAUGCCAAGUUACUAGGGUUCGAAAUGGUUAAGGAACUCUACACAAAUGAUCAUGACUUUGGUGAUAUCUAUGUUGCUUGUGUUAAGAACCCGCAUGGAAAAUACUUCUUGCAUGAUGGAUUUCUAUUCCAUGUAGAUAAACUGUGUGUACCUAAUUCUUCCAUUCGCGAUCUUUUGAUUCGAGAGGCACAUAGUGGUGGUCUCAUGGGCCACUUUGGCAUCACCAAGACUCUGGCCAUGUUGCAAGAGCACUUUUACUGGCCUCAUAUGCGUAGAGAUGUUGAACGCAUGGUUGGUAGAUGUGCUACUUGUCACAAGGCAAAGUCUAAGACAAAUCCAUAUUGCUUGUAUACCCCAUUACCUAUCCCUCACCAUCCUUGGGUUGAUUUGUCUAUGGACUUUGUAUUAGGAUUGCCUAGAUCAACAAGGGGUAAUGACUCCAUCUUUGUUGUGGUUGAUAGAUUCUCUAAGAUGGCUCAUUUUAUUCCUUGCCACAAAACUGACGAUGCAUCUCAUAUUGCUAAUCUGUUCUUCAAAGAAAUUGUCCGUCUGCAUGGCCUGCCUAAAACUAUUGUCAGUGAUAGAGAUGUGAAAUUCUUGAGUUACUUUUGGAAGACUUUGUGGUCCAAACUGGGCACUAGGUUAUUAUUCUCCACCACUAGUCAUCCACAAAGCGAUGGACAAACUGAAGUUGUCAAUCGCACACUUGGCACUCUACUUCGGGCCUUGAUUAAAAAGAAUCUUAAGACUUGGGAAGAGUGCCUCCCUCAUGUUGAAUUCACCUACAAUCAAACUGUGCAUAGUGCCACACAAUACUCCCCCUUUGAGAUUGUUUAUGGCUUCAACCCCGUAACCCCCCUUGAUUUGGUGCCCUUACCUUCCUCUGAGCACACAAGCUUAGAUGGGAAAAAGAAAGCUGAUUCUGUGCGCAGGUUACAUGAGGCCGUGCGAGCAAACAUUGAGAAGCGUACGCAGCAAUACAUCCAGCAAGCCAACAAGCACCGUCGCAAGAUGAUUUUUGAGCCUGGAGAUUGGGUUUGGCUACACUUGAGGAAAGAGCGAUUUCCCAAGCAACGCCAAAAGCAAAUUGUCCCCAAGAGGUGAUGGACCAUUUCGGGUACUCCAACGAGUCAAUGACAACGCAUACAAGUUGGAGCUACCUGGGGAGUACAAUGUUAGUGCAACCUUCAACGUCACGGACCUAAGCCCAUUUCUUGACGAGGAGGAUCCAGAUUUGAGGGCAAAUCCUUCUCAAGAGGAGGGGACUGAUGUGUGCACGAGUCUCAGCCCAUGCAAUGACCCAGUCCGAGUUCCAUUGGGCCCAGUCACACGUGCACGGGCCAAGCUCUUCAAAGAAUCACUCCAAGCCCUGGUUCGAGUCGUCCAAGACCAACAUGGAGUUCACAAAGAUAUUGAGGGCUUAGAGAGAGACAAUCAAGCCAUUUGCACCAUGAUCGAAGCCCACGAAGACUCAAGUGGGCCUUCAAGUGGACCGGCCCUAUAGGGCCUUAGCCUUAGUAUUUGAUAGAUUGGAUUAAUUUGUCUCCAUAGCUCAUUGGGCCGGCCCAUCUUGGACACCAAGAUGGCCAAACUCUUUGCCAUUGUUUCCUUAGGUUUUCUUAAAUAGGCUUGCUUUGUAAGGUUUUAGGGUAGUCGUUUUAUCAAUAAAAUUGGUUUAAUUCGUUCCUUCUUCUAAGAAGAGAGUUCGAGCACUUUAACUUGCUUUGGCAAGGGUUAUUGAGCAAUCUUGCGUCCUGUCCUCGAUUGUUCAUCCGACCUAUUCCCCUAGAGUAUUCACCUUCAUCAGAGUGUCGUCUACCACCUAAAUCAAAUCGUGUCGUCCGUUUGAUUCUAGGUCCCGCAAUCUAAGCGUUGGACAACAUCGCUAGAUCCUUGGGCAAACGUGCUACGUGUCUCGAAACAAGUUGUUAGACUCGAGCAACAUUUCUCAACUACCUAAACCAACAGGUAAGGUACUUGGUAAGUUUUGUAGAGCGACUUGAGCACUAUACACGAGAAAGAAAGAUACACUCAGGGAGUGAAGUGAGGAUUACAUUUGCACUUUCUUUGCUUGUUACUAACCUUUGCAGGGGCAUCAAGCGAGACAUGGAGCAACAAGCAACCACCGAUCACUCCUUGUUGUUCGCCGCAAUGAAGAAUGAGCUAAGGCGAAUCAGUGAACAACAAAUGGAGACGUUACACACUCGUUUUGACGAGUUGUCCAGGAGUCUUACACGAGGCUCUCGUUCUAGAUCCCACAAUCGGAGUAACCACAACACCAAAGAGGCAAAUGGCGAAGAUUACUCCGCUAGUGAGGAUGAGGGGCGACCCGAGAGGUCUACAAGGGACACGCCCAAGAACGAACUCAAGGGGCUUAAGAUUCAAGUCCCCGCAUUCAAAGGCAAAAGUGACCCUGAAUCUUACUUGGAGUGGGAAGGCCGUAUCGAGAUGGUCUUCGACUGCUACGACUACAGUGAGGAACAAAAGGUUAAGGUUGCCACCGUGGAGUUCACCGACUACGCACUAGUCUGGUGGGACCAAGUAAGGACCAAUAGGAGGAGGAUGGGAGAGCCACGUGUCCGGACUUGGCGCGAACUCAAGGCACUGCUGCGCAAGCGAUUUGUUCCUAGCUAUUACAAUCGUGAUCUCCACUCUAAGCUUCAAACUCUCACGCAAGGCAACAUGAGUGUGGAGGACUACUACAAAGAAAUUGAGAUGGCCAUGAUGAGGGCCAACAUUCAAGAAGACAAUGAGGCCAUGAUGGCUCGGUUUCUUAGAGGUCUCAAUCCUGACCUUCAAGAAGCCUUGGAGCUCCAACAUUACUUGGACAUGCACGACCUUCUAGAACUCGCUAUUAAGGCCGAGCGGGGGAAGAAACUAAGACGCGGAGUACGUACGUUCCAAACUUCUAACACCACUUCAUGGAGGGGCAACCAACCACGAAGGGCAACCCACGAAGUUGGAAAUGCGGCAGCACCAACCUCUUCUAAUCGAAUCCAAGGUAACACCUCUAACCGCCAUUCCUAUUCUACCCCUAACAAGGUUUCCAAUGCAUCCAGGUCCACUUCAAAGGCACCGCAUGAGACUCCUAAGAAGAAUCGAAAAAUAUGCAAAACUUAUUGAUAAAACUGCUACCUUCAAACCUUACAAAACAAGCCUAUUUAUAGGCUAAGGGUUACUAAAACCUAAGGAAAACAAGGAAGAGAAAUUCGGCCAUCUUGGGGUCAAGAUGGGCCGGCCCAUGUUCUACUAAAUCACUUAAUCCAACUCUAUUAGUCACUAAGGCCUAAUGCCCUAAUCAGCCAACUCUCUUGGAGGUCCACUUAUCAUGGUGUAGACAACUCGAUUGUCUCCUUCGAAGCCUUCAAUAUCUCUAUGGACUCCAUGUUGGUCUUGGACAAUACGGACAAGGCCUUGGAGGGUUUCUUUGAAGAGCUUGGCUCGUGCACGUGUGACUGGACCUAAUGGAACUCGGACCGGAUCAUUGCGUAGGCCCUGCUCCGUGCACACAUCAUUUGCUUUAUUUACAUUAUGUGUUUUGCAUGCUUGUGUGUUACGUGUUAUUCGCUUCCUUAGGAUCUUGCAUCUAGAUAUCAUGCUUAUGUGCUAUGUGUUUUAUAUGAUAUUGCGUGUUUACUUUGAUGCGGUUGAGCACGAGGUCCAAAGUGUUCAAAUAGACCCUGUGAAGGUGCCCCAAGGCCCAGUGACACGAGUACGAGCUAAGAGAUUCAAGGAGUCCCUCCAAGCUUUGGGCUGUGCCGUCCAAGCCCAAGAGAAACCGGCCAUUGAAGGAAUUGAAUUGGAAGAUCCUUGCACGACUACUAAAAUGUUGCUUACAAUUGAAGAUGCAAGUGUUCAAGCUCCAAACGGCGGGCUGAGCCGCAGUUAAGUACCCUCGCUGAGUCGUAUGGGGAUCAAGCACACACACUUGAUCCUAGGCUAUUCUUGACUUAUCAAUCAAGCACACACACUUGAUUGUGGCAUCCUCUACCGUUAAAUCUGUUCUUGAGUGGUCCAAGUUCGGGUUCAACUCCAUCAAAUCUUCAACGUGUUCCUCUAGAUCCGAAAUAGCUUCCGCGUCUCGCAUCAACUGGCAUCAGAGCUGGUUAGAGGUAUCAUGUAUAUCCCUUUUUUUAUUGUUUUAGAUCUAUUUUAGUCUUCUAAAUUCGUAGCUCAAGUGCUCGGGUUUGUGAAGUCCGAAAUCUGUCUUGGUUGUUUCCUUGUCACAAAUCUGUCUUUGUUGUUUAGUUAUUGUCCGAAAAUUUCUGUCCAGUUUUGUCUUGUGUUUAUGUUCUGUUUAAAUCCAAAAAUCUGUUGUGUUGCAUACCUUAUUGUCAUUCCCUCGAGUCGUUGCUGGAAUUAAUUUGCUGGGAUGCCGAAUCUGUUUGCACUUGUUUCUUGAACCCUUUGUGUUGUUGCUUUGCAAAACUCGAACAUCAAAACCCUAUUGGGGAAGUCUUGAGCAUCUUGGAUUACCAGAGGUUAAUCUUGGCAGUCUUGAAACCUGAAAUAAACCUUUAACCGUGUUCUUGUUUUCAUGGAACUUUGAUCUUGAAACCAAGUCUGUCCAAGUUGUUUACGUUAAUUGCUGUGAGAUUGUGGUCUAAACUGCCUGGCUAUUGUGUGAAAACACCCCAAUAGAAGUAAAAAAAAAAAUUCAAGAAAGAUGGCUCUAGUUUCCAAUUCUUGACCAGCCUCCAAGUUUUACCAAAUCUGAUUCAAACUUGGACUUCCAAAUCUGAACAGCCCUAGUCUUGGUCAGCCUUUAAGCCACCAAAUCUGAUUCAAACUUGGACUUCCAAAUCUGAACAACCUCCGAUUCUUGACCAGCAAAAAAAAAAAAAAUCGGCUACAACAAAGGUCAAAGAAAUCCUAAGUUUCCUACUCUUGACAGCCUACAAGUUUUACCAAAUUUGGUGCAAAAUCUGACUUCCCCAGCCCCAAAAUUUUGAAUUUGAACCACUUGGGACUCUCAAGUCUGACCAAACUCCAAGGUUUCCAAUCCUUGGCAACCCCAAGUGUCCAAAUCAGAUCAAACUUUCCAAUUUCUGAAUCUUGAAUUCUUGAAUUUUCCUAAAACCGUUGGAGCAAUUGUGACACCCGAUUGGGCUGAGUUUUGGGUAGUAGAUUGCCCAUUAUUUGAGCAGCCUAAGGCCACCCAAAAUACUCCAAAACCCUUACCAAAAAGACCACGGACCAGCAGCUCAACAAAUUCCAGAAAAUUGGGUUUCGGGUAGAGUUUUCUAGGAUUUUCAAAAUUUCAGCGUUCAAGUUAAUUGUCUUACUUUCUUUUGAGUCGUUAGUUAUUGUCCAGCUAUAUUCUGAGUCUUGAGUCCUGUCUAGGUCUUCAUUCAUUUACCUCCAUUUAGUGCUACUAGCUUGUGUGUCACUUGUUGACUAGCCAAGAACGUACAUUGCGGUGACGCCUAGUUUGUUCAACCCGAGCAACUAGCAAGCCAAGGAAUUGCUUGGUAAGAUUAUUAGAGAGUGAUACACUUGAGUGAAACACGAGUGUGAGUGACCUAUACAUUAUAUUAAAAAAAAAAAGAGAGAGAGAGGAACUCGUUUGUUUAUUUGUUUCACAAGUGAACUAACUAUGUCUAGUGGAGUGGGUAGCCAAACCAUGGACAUCAAACUACAGUUGGAAGCCAUGAUGGGGGAGUUCAAGCGAUUGCUCAAGAAUGAAAUUGAACCAUUGCAUGACCGGAUUGAUCAGUUGGAGAACUCGAGACCUCCACCUAACCCGAGUAAGGGCAAAGAAUCGGCAUACUCAAACGAUGAAGAGGAAGCGUUUGAGGGAAGGUACCAAAAUGAUCAAAGGUUCCAACGUCGAGGAGACGACACUUAAAGGUGUGAAACUCAAGAUUCCCUCAUUCCCAGGCAAGUCGGACCCCAAGGCGUACUUGGAAUGGGAAUGGAAAAUUGAGUUAGUCUAUGAAUGCCACACCUAUACGGAGGAGCAAAAGGUGAAACUAGCAGCCGUAGAAUUCACUGACUGUGCCUCCAUUUGGUGGGACCAACUUAGAUUAAGCCGAAGGAGAAAUCGUGAGAGACCUGUGGAAACUUGAGAGGAAAUGAGGAGCCUGAUGAGAAAAAGGUUCGUUCCGAGCUACUAUAGCCGAGAUCUACACCGUCGGCUACAAGCUCUCAACCAAGGGUCCAUGACAGUUGAGGAUUAUUACAAGGAGAUGGAAAUGGCCAUCAUGAAGACGGAUUUGCGUGAAGAUGGAGAGGCCACUAUGGCUCGUUUUCUACAUGGAUUGAGGUCCAAGAUUGCUGAAGUAGUGGAACUCCAACACUACCUUGACAUGAAUGAAAUGCUCGAGAAGGCGGUCACAGUUGAACUGCGCCUCAAGAGGAGGGGUAGUGCGCGACAAAGCACUACUUAUCAAGCUGGAAAUUGGCGCACUUCUCAACCAAAAAGGGAGGAAAAGGCUGCAGCUCCUUCUCACCCUCCAAGGCCGAAUGGCCUCCCUUCCAAGGCAACGGCCAAGCCAGACUUUAAGGUUAGUAAUGGAACUCCCAAACCGUGUGGCCGAGACACCAAGUGCUUUAAGUGUCAAGGAUUUGGCCAUAUCGCUUCUCAAUGCCCCAGCCAAAGGACCAUGCUCAUGUUGUCAAAUGGGGAAAUUGUAUCGGACGAGGAAGAGGAGUACGAGGGGAUGCCACCUCUAGAGGAGGAAGAAAAUGAAUCGAGUGAGGAGAUACCUACGCAUGAGGAGAUUGGAUGCCUAGUGGUUCGAAAGGUCCUUACUACCCUCGCCAAGGAGGAGGAAAUGGAGGUACAAUGGGACAACCUUUUCUACACAAGGUGUCAUAUUAAGGAUAAGGUAUGUAGUGUUGUUAUUGAUAGUGGGAGUUGUGCCAAUGUAGCUAGUCUACUCAUUGUAGAAAUGCUAGGGCUCCCAGUUAUCAAACAUCCAAAACCUUAUCGCCUUCAAUGGUUGAACAAUGAAGGGGAAGUCCGUGUGUUUAGACAAGUAAAAGUGCCAUUCCGAAUUGGCAAGUACGAAGACGAGGUUACUUGUGAUGUCGUGCCAAUGCAAGCAAGUCACCUCAUUCUUGGACGGCCUUGACAAUAUGAUCGCGAUGUCGAAUUCAAGGGAAUAUGUCUUUACUCAUUGCAAUAGAAAGGUGACACUUGUACCUCUCACCCCAAAACAAGUGUAUGAAGAUCAAAUGAGGCUCCAAAAGGAGUAUGAGCUAGAACUUGAGAGGAAAAAGCGAGAGAAAAGUAAGGAAGAAAAAGGAGAGAGUAGGGCCGAACCCCUAGGGAAGAAAAAGGCAACAAGUGGGUCGGCUAUGAGAGAAGAAAAUAAGGGGAAGCUAAGCUUGCUAGCAAAAGCCAAAGAUGUAAGGCGAGCUUUGUCUUCCAACCAACUCUUACUUAUGCUUGUGUGCAAAGAAGAGUUGGUCACUUCAUCCAUACCCACUGACUCCUUGCUUUCUACUAUUUUACCUCUCUUGCAGGAAUUCGAGGAUAUAUUUCCUGAGGAUGUACCUGAUGGACUACCAUCGCUAAGGGGAAUUGAGCACCAAAUUGAUCUCAUUCCUGGAGCACCAUUGCAUAACAAACCGGCCUAUAAAAUGGGUCCUGAGGAAACAAAGGAAUUGCAAAGGCAAAUGGAGGAAUUGCUAAGGAAAGGUUGGGCUAGAGAAAGUCUAAGUCCAUGCACUGUACCAGUGAUUCUCGUGCCAAAGAAAACUGGAGAGUGGAGAAUGUGCACCGACUGUCGACCAGUCAAUGCAAUCACGGUAAAAGAUCGUCACCCUAUCCCUAGGUUAGAUGAUAUGUUAGAUGAAUUGCAUGGUGCCAUUACCACCAAAUAAGAAUGAAAAAGGGAGGUGAGUGGAAAAUCGCUUUCAAAACUAAACAUGGUCUAUACGAGUGGUUAGUAAUACUAUUUGGCUUAACUAAUGCACCUAGUACCUUCAUGCGUUUAAUGAACCAUGUUUUGAGACCUUUUCUUGGGAAAUUUGUAGUGGUUUGCUUUGAUGAUAUUCUGAUUUAUAGUAGAAGCUUAGAGGAACACCUUGAGCAUCUCAAAGCCAUCUUUGAAGUACUUCGAAGGGAAAGGCUAUAUGCCAACCUUAAGAAGUGCACAUUUUGCACUGAUCGUGUUGUGUUUCUAGGAUAUGUUGUAAGUGUGCAGGGCAUUCAUGUAGAUGAAGAAAAGAUUAAGGCCAUCCAAGAGUGGCCAACACCUACCUCUGUAAGUAAUGUGCGCAGCAGCUUUCAUGGAUUAGCAAGCUUCUACCGUCGUUUUGUGAAGGAUUUUAGCACCAUUGCUGCACCUCUUACCGCAGUCAUAAAGAAGAACGAGAAGUUCUUUUGGGGGAAAGCCCAAGAUAAGGCUUUCCAAUUGCUGAAACACAAACUCACACAUGCACCACUUCUUGCAAUACCUAACUUUGAUCUCACUUUUGAAGUGGAAUGUGAUGCAUCAGGAAUAGGAGUAGGAGCAGUACUCAUGCAAGGAGGGAGAUCGAUUGCCUACUUUAGUGAGAAAUUAAAUGGCGCGGUCCUCAACUAUUCAACUUAUGACAAGGAGAUGUUUGCCCUCGUAUUUGCUUUGGAGACAUGGCAACACUACCUACGUGCCUGGGAAUUCGUCAUCAAAACUGACCAUGAGUAUCUCAAGCACCUAAAAGGACAACAAAACUGAGCAAACGGCAUGCCCGAUGGGUAGCCUUCAUCGAGUCUUUUCCAUACGUUAUCAAAUACAAAACAGGUAAGUCUAAUGUAGUGGCUGAUGCUUUAUCUCGUAGACACAUUUUGCUCACUACUUUAGAUGCUAAACUCCUAGGCUAUGAGCUCAUGAAGGAGUUGUAUAAGGAUGACUUGGAUUUUGCGAACGCUUAUACGAAUUGGGGAAAAACUGACUUUGAAAAAUUCUUUGUGCAUGAUGGGUUCUUAUUUUAUCUUACCAAGUUGUGCAUCCCUCGAGGGUCUAUACGUGACUUACUUAUUCAGGAGUCACAUAGUGGUGGACUAAUGGGACACUUUGGUGUCACCAAGACAUUAGCUGUAUUGCAGGAACACUUCCAUUGGCUUCGCAUGCGCAAGAACGUGGAGAGGAUUGUUGAAAGAUGUGGCGUGUGUCACAAAGCUAAGUCUCGGGUCAACCCAAACGGUUUGUAUACUCCUUUAACCAUACCUCACCACUCUUGGGUUGAUAUUUCCAUGGAUUUCGUGCUUGGUUUACCUCGUUCUAAGCAUGGCCAUGACUCUAUAUUUGUUGUGGUAGAUAGGUUCUCUAAAAUGGCUCACUUUAUUGCAUGUCAUAAGACGGAUGAUGCUUUACACAUUGCUGACUUAUUCUUUAAAGAGGUUAUUCGUUUGCAUGGCAUACCUAGGACUAUAGUAUCCGAUAGAGAUGUCAAGUUUUUGAGCUAUUUUUGGAAAUCUUUAUGGGGUUGGUUGGGAACCAAACUGUUGUUCUCUACCUCUAGUCAUCCUCAAACGGACGGACAAAUUGAGGUAGUCAAUAGGACUUUAUCUACACUCCUACGUGCAAUCAUAAAGAAAAAUAUCAAGUCAUGGGAGGAGUGUCGACCUCAUGUUGAGUUUGCAUACAAUAGGGUUGUGCAUAGUGCUACACAAUUCUCGCCUUUUGAAAUUGUGUAUGGUUUUAACCCCUUAACUCCCUUAGAUUUGUUGCCAUUACCUUCUUCUGAGCAUAUAAACUUAGAUGGCAAGAAGAAAGCUGAGUUCGUGAGAUCAAUACAUGACAAGGUUCGUACCAACAUCGAGAGGAGGAUGGCCCAAUAUAUCCAACAAGCUAUAAUAAGCACAGGCGCAAGCUUGUCUUUGAACCAGGUGAUUGGGUCUGGUUACAUUUGCGCAAGGAGAGAUUUCCAAAACAACGGCAAAGCAAGCUGUCACCAAGAGGAGAUGGGCCUUUACAAGUCAUUGAGCGCAUCAACGACAAUGCAUACCACUUAGAUCUGCCUAGUGAGUAUAAUGUUAGUGCUACAUUCAAUGUUGCUGAUCUAAGUCCAUUUAUUGCAGGGGACGAGUACGAUUUGAGGGCAAAUCCUUUUCAAGAGGAGGGGAAUGAUGCGGUUGAGCACGAGAUCCAAAGUGUUCAAAUAGACCCUGUGAAGGUGCCCCAAGGCCCAGUGACACGAGCACGAGCUAAGAGAUUCAAGGAGUCCCUCCAAGCUUUGGUCCGUGCCGUCCAAGCUCAAGAGAAACCGGCCAUUGAAGGAAUUGAAUUGGAAGAUCCUUGCACGACUACUAAAAUGCUGCUUACAAUUGAAGAUGCAAGUGUUCAAGCUCCAAACGGCGGGCUGAGUCGUAGUUAAGUACCCUCGCUGAGCCGUAUGGGGAUCAAGCACACACACUUGAUCCUAGGCUGUUCUUGACUUAUCAAUCAAGCACACAUACUUGAUUGUGGCGUCCUCUACCGUUAAAUCUGUUCUUGAGUGGUCCAAGUUCGGGUUCAACUCCAUCAAAUCUUCAACGUGUUCCUCUAGAUCCGAAAUAGCUUCCGCGUCUCGCAUCAUACUUGCUUUCCUUAUGUUUUAUAUGAUUUAUUUGAUUAUAAUCACUGUGUGACGUCACCACGCUAGCCCAACGCUAGUUGUGGCCCCUCUCCCGAUUCCACACUAGUCCAACGCUAGUUGUGCCCCCUUAGUCCGAUUUCUCACAAGUCCAACGCUAGUGAGAAAAUAGAGACAUGGGCUAGUCCAACGCUAGACCCUUAGGGACUGCCCUCGCGCUAGAUCAUAUUUGUGUGACAAUCAUCACAUUUUCAUGCAUAUUUUAGGUUUUUUUUAUCACUUUUGCAUGACCUUUCCAUUGUAUACACAUCUCUCAUCCCAUAUUUUCCUUAUAUAUGUCCCCCUUAUCCUAUAUUUUCCUCUAUAUUACCCUAUGUGUGGGACAUGCCAUUAGACUUGCAUUUCAUAUAAGAAAAAUUAGAGAUAGGUUAGUACAUUUGUUUGAUUAGAUUAGGCAAUACCCCUCGAAUAUGGGAUAUGGACGAGUGUGACUUUCUAACCUUAGCACGCUUGUAUUCCCUCUAUAAAAGGGAAAAUUUAUUCACGAAUCAUAGUCCCUCCCUGCACCCGUUAUGAUGCAAUUCCUUUAGGUCAUGAAUGCUCAUAUAUCAUUAUUUUAUUUUAUUUUAUUUUUCUUCGAGUCUCAUAUAUUGCACAUUCGUUGCGAGAACCCGAAAAUUUUCUUAUUUCCAGGCAGUAUUUUAUUUCCUUGCACACAUUUUCUAUAUUUUCCUUUAUUAUAUUAAUUUUCUAGAUAUUUUUAUAAGUGGGUAUAGUGUUUAAAUCAUUUUUCUAGAAUAAGUUAGUUCAUGCGCCAUUAGAAGCAUAUAUUGGAUGUGGGACCCUCUAGUGCGUUAAGUGCGAUGAAUUUUUAUGACCAGGUAAAGUUUUGUAUUAAGGGAUAUUAUUUUACAAGGUGGCAGGAGACAAUUAGAGGUUAGCUAGAUAGAUUAACCAUUGGGAGAAAGAAGAUAAGCUUAAACCCUAAAAGGUGCCAAGUGUCGCGACCUGAUUGGAGUUGGAGUUGGACUUUGACCAAAGGUUUCACAACUUUCCUAAAACUAAUUUUGACCAAGAUUUUUCUCAUUUUCUCCCUUGCUUGGCCGGCCACCUUGAGAGGAAAAACCAAGAGAGUUUCUUCAACUUCAACUUCAAGUCUUGCUCAAAUCUUGAGUUUCAACCGUUGAAUCAUCAAAUUACUCCAUCAAAGUUGCUUACUAAGGAGGAUUAAAGCUUUUAGUGGAGUAAAUUUGGGAGGAAGAAGCCUAAGCUACUGUCUUUCUUGAGGUUUCAAGGUACUUUGCUUAGAAAUUUCCUCUUUGUUUUACUAAUGGCAAAUUAGUGACUAAAUAUGUUGUUUUGUGGAAGAUUUCAUGGUUUAAAGUAGAGUUUUGAUAAAUUUCAGAUUUAUUGGUGAUUUUUCUGUCCUCAUAUGAUGAGCAAUGGUUGGCUUGAUAGUUUGUUAUGUGAAAUAUUGAAGCUUGAUAGGCUAGUAUACUUUGCCUAAAGAAAUUUCAGCUUAGGGUGCAUAAAUUUCAGAUUUAGGGUUUCCAAUUUUGGUGUAAUUGUGGUGGAUUUGGGAGUUACUAAUUGUACAUGAAGGGUAUUGCGACCCCAAUUUAGUGUGUUAAAUGGUUUAUGAUUUGUAUGUGAAAUUGUUGUUGAAUUGAGAUGAGAUUGGGUGGAUGUUAGGUUGGAAAAGUAAAGAAAAACAAGGGAAGGGCUGCUGAAAUUUUUGCAGCACCCUUUAGCAGUUUUGGAAAAUCUGUUGUAUCUUGAUGAAGAAAAAUCGAAAUUAAGUUCGUUUAUUGCCUUUGAAACUAGAUUCAUAGAGCUACAAACCAUGAAAAUUUCGGACCCUAGUUCUGUCUGUGUGAUUUAUGGUGAUUUUCCAAAGUUGACUGAAAUUACAUACCUGUUCUGUCUUUUACUGGAUGAAGUAGCGACUUGAGGCUCGAAUUUGACUGACUUGUGGUAUGAAUCUUAUAAAUGUGUCUUUUGAGAAAUUGUAUUCCUUUGAGUCUAUUUUCCGACGGUAUAAAUUUUAUCAAUUUUGGACUUAAGAAUCUUGAGAUAUGAUUUUUAAAAUGGUGGUGUGCAAAACUUGAUACGUUCCUCGAUCAACUCGUUUCGAGACACGUAGCACGUUUGCCCAAGGAUCUAGCGAGGUUGUCCAACGCUUGGUUUGCGGAACCUAGAGUCAAUACGGACGGCACGAUUUGACUUAGGUGGUAGACGACACUCCGAUGAAGGUGAAUACUCCAGGGGAAUAGGUCGGAUGAACAAUCAAGGACAGGACGCAAGAUUGCUCAAUAACCCUUGCCAAAGCAAGGAAUAGGUCGGACGAAUUUUGUCUUAGUUUUCCUUAUUUCCGCUGCACUUGUCUCAAAAAAAAAAAAAAAAUUCUGUUCGUGUGUUUUCUUGUGUUGCAAAUCUGUCCGCUGUUUAGUACGUCAUUGUUGCGACCAAUUCUUGAUCAAAGUUGUGCCUAAUCUGUCCGUAGUUCUUGUUCUUGUUGCGCCUUUGUUAGUCACAAAAUUCUGUUUGCGUCGCUUGUCAAAAAAAAAAAAAAAAGAUUUCUGUCCGUUAGUUCUUGUCUUUUGGUCGCGUCAAUUUCUGGUCAGUUGUGUGUUUGGUGCUAGUCCCAAUCUGCCCAAAUUUCGUACUCUCGUGGCAUCUAUUCUGCCCAGCACUUAGCCAUAGCCGAAUCUGCACAAAAAAAAAAGGAAGACGGCUAGGGUUUUCCAAGUUGCGACUAGGGUUUGGUCUUUGUUGUGAAAUCUGUCCAAAUAGUUAUUGUUAUCCAAGUGGUUUGCUUAACUUGCCUAAACUGAUUUGGGGACAAAUACUUGUUCGGUUGGUGAAUCUUGAAGAAAAUCUACACGGCUUCUAAGAUUCUUGAAGUAAUAUCACCAUCUUGAAAUUCUUGAAAGUCUUGGAGAAACCUUGUUAGUUUGAGGGAGUAGGGUGGUGCGUUCUUGUGUGUUGAGGGCAGACCUUAUUUCUGGGAUUUUUCACUCAUUCGGCCAAGAAAUUGUGUUGUCUUUAAGUCCAAAAAAAAAAAAUAGAAACGCAAGAGAAAAGAGAAAAAAAAAAAAACAUUCGGACAACAAGAAACAAAGAAGGAAGCCGUAUUAUUAUUAUUGUCAAAUCUGUCUUGAUACUUCUUGUUCCAACCCAAACCAGGAAAUUACAGCAAGGAAAAAAGAAAAGAAUUCAGAAGUUUUUGCCAACCUCUUCUUGAAAAUCUUGAUCACCUUGGAUCUUGAUCACUUGUGUCACCUUUUGGGAUUCUUGAGGGUCUUGUUUAUCUUGGGGUUUGAAGACUUGCACUUCCCUUCGUAUAAAGAGUUUUUUGUAAGAUCUUGCAUCCAUACGAGGCUUCCUUGGGUUAGGAGUGAAUUUCUUGGGAGAUUCUUGAGUAACGAUACUUGCUUUACCUUGGGAGUCCAUUGGAGCCGAAUUUCUGGACUAACAAGAACCAAACCUGUCUUGUAGGAGAGAGGGCCGAAUUUCUUGUUCUUGGAGUAGAGAGGGAGCCGAAUUGCUUGGGUAAGUUGCGGCUGUGAAGAGGGAGUUUAAUAGGAAGUGUAACCGACUUAGGGAAGGGUUUCUAGGAGGGAAGAAUUCUGGAAAUUUCGGUUGAGGGGGGGAACAAAUCUGUUUAGGAGUCCCAACUCUUACUUGCUUUCCAAAUUAGUUAGGAGACUAAGUAAUAUACUUGGAUAACUCGUGGACACCUCCUAUAUUUUCUCCACCAUUUUAGGAUAUUCUCCAUAUUCUCUCAUCCACUUUAGGAAACCACUCCUACAUCUUAGGAUUCUUGGAGUUUCCUUUCUUUCCAAAUCUGUCCACCGUCCCCAAGCCUUCCAAAACCGUCCUUUCCUUCACAAAAUUUCAUCCACUUGCAUCCUUCACUCUUGUUUACUCUUGUGGGAAAAGUUGGUGACAAAUUGUUGGACUCGAGCAACAUUUCUCAACUACCUAAACCAACAGGUAAGGUACUUGGUAAGUUUUAUAGAGCGACUUGAGCACUAUACACGAGAGAGAAAGAUACACUCAGGGAGUGAAGUGAGGAUUACAUUUGCACUUUCUUUGCUUGUUACUAACCUUUGCAGGGGCAUCAAGCGAGACAUGGAGCAACAAGCAACCACCGAUCACUCCUUGUUGUUCGCCGCAAUGAAGAAUGAGCUAAGGCGAAUCAGUGACCAACAAAUGGAGACGUUACACACUCGUUUUGACGAGUUGUCCAGGAGUCUUACACGAGGCUCUCGUUCUAGAUCCCACAAUCGGAGUAACAACAGCACCAAAGAGGCAAAUGGCGAAGAUUACUCCGCUAGUGAGGAUGAGGGGCGACCCGAGAGGUCUACAAGGGACACGCCCAAGAACGAACUCAAGGGGCUUAAGAUUCAAGUCCCCGCAUUCAAAGGCAAAAGUGACCCUGAAGCUUACUUAGAGUGGGAAGGCCGUAUCGAGAUGGUCUUCGACUGCUACGACUACAGUGAGGAACAAAAGGUUAAGGUUGCCACCGAGUUCACCGACUAUGCACUAGUCUGGUGGGACCAAGUAAGGACCAAUAGGAGGAGGAUGGGAGAGCCACGUGUCCGGACUUGGCACGAACUCAAGGCACUGCUACGCAAGCGAUUUGUUCCUAGCUAUUACAACCGUGAUCUCCACUCUAAGCUUCAAACUCUCACGCAAGGCAACAUGAGUGUGGAGGACUACUACAAAGAAAUUGAGAUGGCCAUGAUGAGGGCCAACAUUCAAGAAGACAAUGAGGCCACGAUGGCUCGGUUUCUUAGAGGUCUCAAUCCUGACCUUCAAGAAGCCUUGGAGCUCCAACAUUACUUGGACAUGCACGACCUUCUAGAACUCGCUAUUAAGGCCGAGCGGGGGAAGAAACUAAGACGCGGAGUACGUACGUUCCAAACUUCUAACACCACUUCAUGGAGGGGCAACCAACCACGAAGGGCGACCCACGAAGUUGGAAAUGCGGCAGCACCAACCUCUUCUAACCGAAUCCAAGGUAACACCUCUAACCGCCAUUCCUAUUCUACCCCUGACAAGGUUUCCGAUGCAUCCAGGUCCACUUCAAAGGCACCACAUGAGACUCCUAAGACUAGGAGUAGGGACAUCAAGUGCUUCAAGUGCCAAGGGUUUGGACAUAUUCAAUCUCACUGCCCAAACCAACGGGUCAUGCUCAUCACUCACAAUGGCGAAAUCGUGUCUGAUGAUGACGAAUGUGAGGAGAUGCCCGAACUGGUCGAAGACGACUGCCUAGAAGAGGAGUCAGCUGGGGAGGCUUGCUCGCCUACACGAGGAGAAGUAGGUUGCUUGGUGGCACGGCGAGUGCUAACCGCCCGCGUUAAGGAGGACGAGCAGCUACAACGCGAAAACCUUUUCUACACCCGCUGUAAGAUAGGCGACAAGGUGUGUAGUCUCAUCAUCGACGGUGGGAGUUGCACGAACGUGGCCAGUUUGCUCAUGGUUGAGAGUCUAGGACUCCCCACUACCAGGCAUCCAAGUGAGGAUGGUUAAGUGAGGAUGGUGAGGUACGAGUCUUCAAACAGGUACGCAUUCCCUUUUCAAUUGGUACUUACACUGAUGAAAUCGUGUGCAACGUAGUACCAAUGCAUGCUACGCAUAUCAUUUUGGGAAGGCCCUGGCAAUUUGACAAACACGUCACAUUCGAUGGAAGAGCAAAUAAGUACACCCUUUUGCACGAUGGCAAACGUAAGGUCCUUACACCUCUCACACCUGCACAAGUUUAUGAGGACCAACUACUAUUGCAAAGGGAGUGUGAACAAGACCGUCAAAGAAGGAAACUAAAGGCAGUCGACCCUGGUAAAGGCUCCACGUCUACGAGUGAGCCAUCAACCAAGGGUCAAGGGAGCACACCUAGGGGUAUACAUGACAAAUCACCUACCGCACCUACCACUAGGAAGCACAACAUGAUUAUUAAGGCUAAAGAUGUUAGAAAAGUGGUGAACUCUAAUUAGCCUAUACUUCUCAUGAUUUGCAAGCAUGUGCUCUUGGAUGUUGCUGAGCUCGACAAGGCGUUGCCUGCGAGCAUAGUUGCUCUUUUGCAAGAAUUUGGGGAUGUUUUCCCUGACGAGGUCCCUGAUGGCUUACCACCCAUUCGGGGAAUUGAACACCAAAUCGACCUCAUUCCUGGAGCACCAUUGCCCAACAAACCUGCUUACCGCAUGGGCCCUGAGGAGACCAAGGAGCUUCAAAGGCAAGUUGAUGGCCUCUUAGGUAAGGGUUGGGUAAAGGAAAGUCUAAGUCCUUGCGCUGUGCCUGUGAUACUUGUUCCCAAAAAGGACGGUACUUGGCGCAUGUGCACCGACUGUCGGGCUGUGAACGCUAUCACUGUCAAAUAUCGUCAUCCCAUUCCUAGACUUGAUGAUAUACUUGAUGAACUCAAUGGUGCCAUUAUUUUCACCAAAAUAGACUUAAGGAGCGGCUAUCAUCAAAUUCGGAUGAAAGAAGGCGCCGAGUGGAAAACAGCCUUCAAAACCAAACAUGGUCUCUAUGAGUGGCUAGUCAUGCCUUUUGGCUUAACUAAUGCCCCUAGCACCUUCAUGCGACUAAUGAACCAUGUGUUGAGACACUUUAUUGGCAAGUUUGUCAUUGUUUACUUUGAUGACAUCCUGAUCUAUAGUCAUAGUGAGCAUGAGCACCUAGAGCAUGUGAGAUUAGUUCUUGAGACACUUCGACAGGCGCAUCUUUACGCCAACCUCAAGAAGUGCACCUUUUGUACUAACGAGCUUGUGUUUUUAGGCUAUGUGGUAAGUUCGCAGGGCAUCAAGGUGGACAAAUCCAAGAUUGAGGCCAUCGAAGCAAUGGCCAACUCCCACGUCCGUCCCUGACGUGCGCAGCUUUCUUGGAUUGGCGGGCUUUUACCGGCGCUUUGUCAAAGAUUUUAGCACCAUUGCCGCCCCGUUGACCGCCGUGACAAAGAAGAAUGACAAGUUCCACUGGGGAGAAUCACAAGAACAAGCAUUUCUCGCCCUCAAGGACACACUCACACAUGCACCUGUGUUAGCAUUACCAAAUUUUCACAAGACUUUUGAAAUUGAAUGUGAUGCUUCUGGUGUAGGUAUUGGAGCGGUCCUCAUGCAAGACAAGAGGCCUUGUGCCUUCUUUAGUGAGAAACUGGGGGGAGCUGCAUUAAACUACCCCACGUACGACAAGGAGUUGUACGCAUUAGUGAGGGCUUUGGAGACUUGGCAACACUAUCUUCGCCCUCGGGAGUUCGUGAUACACACUGAUCACGAGUCAUUGAAGUACCUCAAGGGACAACCCAAGUUAAGCAAGCGACAUGCCAAAUGGGUAAGCUUCAUUGACACCUUUUCGUAUGUCAUUAAGUAUAAGACUGGCAAAA
rnacentral:lncRNA from 1 species